rnacentral:rRNA from 1 species
CCAUGCGAGUCGAGAGGGUUCGGCCCUCGGCUGACGGCUCAGUAACACGUGGAUAAUCUACCCUAAGGUGGAGGAUAACCUCGGGAAACUGAGAAUAAUACUCCAUAAGUCUAAGAUGCUGGAAUGCACUUAGGCUGAAAACUUCGGUGCCUUAGGAUGAGUCUGCGGACUAUCAGGUUGUAGUCAGGGUAAAGACCUGAUUAGCCUACGACGGAUACGGGUUGUGAGAGCAAUAACCCGGAGAUGAUAUCUGAGACACGAUAUCAGGCCCUACGGGGCGCAGCAGGCGCGAAAACUUCGCACUACGCGAAAGCGCGACGAGGGGAUCCCAAGUGUAUGCACGUAAGUGUAUACUGUUUCUCUGUCUAAAAAGCAGGGAGAGUAAGAGCUGGGUAAGACGGGUGCCAGCCGCCGCGGUAAUACCUGCAGCUCAAGUGGUGAUCGUUAUUAUUGGGCCUAAAACGUCCGUAGCCGGUCUGUAAAUGCCUGGGUAAAUCGUAUGGCUUAUCCAUACAAUUCUGGGUAAACUGUUAACUCAAACGGAAAGCUAAGUACUCCUGGGGUAAAGUGA